GACGAACGCUGGCGGCGUGCUUAACACAUGCAAGUCGAACGGAAAGGCCCUGCUUUUGUGGGGUGCUCGAGUGGCGAACGGGUGAGUAACACGUGAGUAACCUGCCCUUGACUUUGGGAUAACUUCAGGAAACUGGGGCUAAUACCGGAUAGGAGCUCCUGCUGCAUGGUGGGGGUUGGAAAGUUUUGGCGGUUGGGGAUGGACUCGCGGCUUAUCAGCUUGUUGGUGGGGUAGUGGCUUACCAAGGCUUUGACGGGUAGCCGGCCUGAGAGGGUGACCGGCCACAUUGGGACUGAGAUACGGCCCAGACUCCUACGGGAGGCAGCAGUGGGGAAUAUUGCACAAUGGGCGGAAGCCUGAUGCAGCAACGCCGCGUGCGGGAUGACGGCCUUCGGGUUGUAAACCGCUUUCGCCUGUGACGAAGCGUGAGUGACGGUAAUGGGUAAAGAAGCACCGGCUAACUACGUGCCAGCAGCCGCGGUGAUACGUAGGGUGCGAGCGUUGUCCGGAUUUAUUGGGCGUAAAGGGCUCGUAGGUGGUUGAUCGCGUCGGAAGUGUAAUCUUGGGGCUUAACCCUGAGCGUGCUUUCGAUACGGGUUGACUUGAGGAAGGUAGGGGAGAAUGGAAUUCCUGGUGGAGCGGUGGAAUGCGCAGAUAUCAGGAGGAACACCAGUGGCGAAGGCGGUUCUCUGGGCCUUUCCUGACGCUGAGGAGCGAAAGCGUGGGGAGCGAACAGGCUUAGAUACCCUGGUAGUCCACGCUGUAAACGGUGGGUACUAGGUGUGGGGUCCAUUCCACGGGUUCCGUGCCGUAGCUAACGCUUUAAGUACCCCGCCUGGGGAGUACGGCCGCAAGGCUAAAACUCAAAGGAAUUGACGGGGCCCCGCACAAGCGGCGGAGCAUGCGGAUUAAUUCGAUGCAACGCGUAGAACCUUACCUGGGUUUGACAUGGAUCGGGAGUGCUCAGAGAUGGGUGUGCCUCUUUUGGGGUCGGUUCACAGGUGGUGCAUGCCUGUCGUCAGCUCGUGUCGUGAGAUGUUGGGUUAAGUCCCGCAACGAGCGCAACCCUUGUUCACUGUUGCCAGCACGUUAUGGUGGGGACUCAGUGGAGACCGCCGGGGUCAACUCGGAGGAAGGUGGGGAUGACGUCAAGUCCUCAUGCCCCUUAUGUCCAGGGCUUCACGCAUGCUACAAUGGCUGGUACAGAGAGUGGCGAGCCUGUGAGGGUGAGCGAAUCUCGGAAAGCCGGUCUCAGUUCGGAUUGGGGUCUGCAACUCGACCUCAUGAAGUCGGAGUCGCUAGUAAUCGCAGAUCAGCAACGCUGCGGUGAAUACGUUCCCGGG
rnacentral:rRNA from 1 species